AGAGACAGCAGUAGCCGCGGGAAUACGUAGGGUGCGAGCGUUAAUCGGAAUUACUAGGCGUAAAGCGUGCGCAGGCGGUUGUGUAAGACAGGUGUGAAAUCCCCGGGCUUAACCUGGGAACUGCGCUUGUGACUGCACAGCUAGAGUAUGGCAGAGGGGGUUGGAAUUCCACGUGUAGCAGUGAAAUGCGUAGAGAUGUGGAGGAACACCGAUGGCGAAGGCAGCCCCCUGGGCCAAUACUGACGCUCAUGCACGAAAGCGUGGGGAGCAAACAGGAUUAGAUACCCCCGUAGUCCCUGUCUCUUAUAC
rnacentral:rRNA from 1 species